rnacentral:tRNA from 1 species
CAAUGAAGUGCCUGAAAAAAAGGAUAAUUUUGAUAGAAUUAAUAAUGUGUAGAAAUUCACCUUCAUU